rnacentral:tRNA from 1 species
UCCUGUAUGGCUCAGUUGGUAGAGCAUGGCAUUUACAAUGCCAGGAAUGUGGGUUUCGAUUCCCGGGACCAGAC